UUUAAUUCGAUGCAACGCGAAGAACCUUACCUGGUCUUGACAUCCACAGAACUUUCCAGAGAUGGAUUGGUGCCUUCGGGAACUGUGAGACAGGUGCUGCAUGGCUGUCGUCAGCUCGUGUUGUGAAAUGUUGGGUUAAGUCCCGCAACGAGCGCAACCCUUAUCCUUUGUUGCCAGCGGUUCGGCCGGGAACUCAAAGGAGACUGCCAGUGAUAAACUGGAGGAAGGUGGGGAUGACGUCAAGUCAUCAUGGCCCUUACGACCAGGGCUACACACGUGCUACAAUGGCAUAUACAAAGAGAAGCGACCUCGCGAGAGCAAGCGGACCUCAUAAAGUAUGUCGUAG
rnacentral:rRNA from 1 species